UUGAAGAAGUUCCCUGGCCUCACUCUGACAUGAAGAAGACGUAACAGUUGAAGAACAAACAUAAUCAAACCUCUUGGUAAGUAUUCACUCAAUCAAUUCAUCGAUCACUUUCUCUAAUAGUCGCAAUAAGAAUAUGUGGUGAUUUGAUGGAAUUUUUUGUAGAAUUACCCUGUGAUUUGUAAGACAUACAUGCAGUUAAUGUUUUUAAUAAUUUCAUGGUCGUGAUUGACACAU
rnacentral:lncRNA from 1 species